AAUUGAAUCACGCAGUCCAAAACAAACCAGUUGGCGAUCACAUAUACAUUUAGGCUGAUAAAGAUUGGUAUUCAAGGUUUUCGUCUCGUGUAGGCAAGAGUUGCAAUUUCCGAUGAACACCCAAUAUCCUGAGUUUCACAACAGCUUUAGAAAUGGAGGAAACCACGUUUAGCUACAAUUUUAUUCCGAGUCGAAGGAUGGAUGAAGUGAUCGACGUGAUGCGAUCUAGUUUUACACAACUUCAAAAACAACUGAACGGAUCUUUACAUAUGUCAGAGGAAGUUGUGGUUUUAUUUCUGUCCAUCUCUGAAGUGCCGUUGGCUCGUUGUAUGGGUUCUCUGCAAAAAGCGUUACUGGCGGAGAUAACCAAGCUGUCGAAAAGUCAGGUCGCCGACGUUCUUACGGUGAAAGGUCCAGUACCGAGAACGGAGAGAGCAGAGUACUUCAGUUAGCGGCGGAAGAAGCUGAAAAUGAAGAUGUCAGUUACGACAACGAUGGCACAGACACAGGUCACAUGUAGACCACAGUGAUACCAAAGCAGACCCAGAUCCAUCAUACUGUGGCAGUGGAUCAAGCCUCCACCACACAUGUAGUCGUCUGUGGCCAUAUGUUCAGGACAGGAUGAUGCACCUAGUGUCCACACGGGAGAGAAGCCUUACUCCUGCUCCGACUGCAACAAGACCUUCCACAGACAGGUCCACCACAUGGAGGACAGUGACCACGCCUUUGAGGACUGCAACAAGACACCCCUUCACCUGAAGCUCCACUCAGAGGACAAGCCCUCUGUCUGUCCAGACCGUGGCAAGGGAUUCCUCUGGCUCGACCGCCUCCACCGCCGUACCCACGUUACAGAGCCCAAGUCCGGGAAGAUCCACGUGCCUGCGGGCGUUCACCAGGGAGUGACACCUUAAUGUUGAGCACGGCGUCGAACCGUCCACCCCCGUGGGUCAAAGUUGAACUGUCAUCUGGAUUGGAGGCGAAGACUAGGACAGUCCAGGUCAAACCGCCUUCGUUCAGGUGUUUUACAGGUCUGAACUGGAUCACCACAGCUGUGACGAGGAGACGGAGACAUAGACAGUUCCAGCAGAAGAGGAGGAUCACAAUGAAGAAGUCAGAGCAGUUUGAUGUUGAAAGAAGAAAACGUGUUCCCGUCUUAUAAACUACUUCUGUCAGUGUCUAGUAGUACACUCCAUAGACACCAGCUUGUGUCAGGUAGCAGGGAAUACAGGUCUAGGACCAGUUGUUAGAACGCAUCUUGUCAGCACCAAGAACAGGUCUAGGACCAGUUAGACUGCAGCUUGUGUCAGGGCCGGGGAGUGCUGUAGCAGCAAGAACAAGUCUAGGCACUGUUGUUUGAAUGCAGCGUGGGUCAGCAGGAAGAACAAGUCCCAGGCCCGUUUUUAUGAUUGUAGCCAACCAGGGAGUGGGACAGCCUCUGACCUUGUUCCAGGCACCUGUAGUGAGGUUCACAACUCCUGGUAGAGUCACAGCACCAUCUACAGCCCAAACAGUGAAACUACUCUGCGACUAGUUUACAUGCCUGUGGUAUCAUCCAAAGCAACACCCAUAGCACCAGUAUAGUAUCCAAACCCAUAGUAACACUAGUAAAUCCCUGACAAGUCUCACCCGUAGCAGCUAAACACAGUAGCAGCACCAGUCACCUCCAUGGCCAGACCAGACAUCACAACUAUGGCAGCACCAGUCACCUCCAUGGCCAGACCAGACAUCACAACUAUGGCAGCACCAGUCACCUCCAUGGCCAGACCAGACAUCACAACUAUGGCAGCACCAGUCACCUCCAUGGCCAGACAUCACAACUAUGGCAGCACCAGUCACCUCCAUGGCCACACAUCACAACUAUGGCAGCACCAGUCACCUCCAUGGCCAGACCAGACAUCACAACUAUGGCAGCACCAGUCACCUCCAUGGCCAGACAUCACAACUAUGGCAGCACCAGUCACCUCCAUGGCCAGACCAGACA